rnacentral:rRNA from 1 species
GACGAACGCUGGCGGCGUGCUUAACACAUGCAAGUCGAACGGUGAAGGGGUCUGCUUUUGUGGGCCCUGGAUGAGUGGCGAACGGGUGAGUAACACGUGAGUAACCUGCCCCCUUCUUCUGGAUAACCGCAUGAAAGUGUGGCUAAUACGGGAUAUUCUGGGUCUGUCGCAUGAUGGGUCUGGGAAAGAUUGCGCCUUUGGGUGUUUUUGGUGGGGGAUGGGCUCGCGGCCUAUCAGCUUGUUGGUGGGGUGAUGGCCUACCAAGGCGGUGACGGGUAGCCGGCCUGAGAGGGUGGACGGUCACACUGGGACUGAGGCACGGCCCAGACUCCUACGGGAGGCAGCAGUGGGGAAUAUUGCACAAUGGGCGCAAGCCUGAUGCAGCGACGCCGCGUGAGGGAUGGAGGCCUUCGGGUUGUAAACCUCUUUCGCCAGUGAAGCAGGCCUGCUCCUUGUGGGUGGGUUGACGGUAGCUGGAGAAGAAGCGCCGGCUAACUACGUG